GGGGAUUUGGCUCAGCGGUAGAGCGCUUGCCUAGCAAGCGCAAGGUCCUGGGUUCGGUCCCCAGCUCCA
rnacentral:tRNA from 1 species